GUUAAACGGCUGCAGUACUCUGACUGUGCAAAGGUAGCAUAAUCACUUGCCUAAUAAUUUUAGGCUGGCAUCAACGGCUAGACGAUAGGAGUUCUGUCUCUUUUUAUUGUUUUUGAAGUUAACUUUUAGGUGAGAGGCCUAAGAAUUGCAGUGGGACGAGAAGACCCUAUAGAGCUUUAGUUCGGGGCUUGUGGGACAAAGUGAGGAGCUUUAGUUGGGGCAACUAUUUUUGAAGUUAAACACGAAUAGUUUGCUAUAAGGGAGUUUAGAAUAUGACCUAUAAUGUUAUAAUCAUUUGAAAAAGUUACCUUAGGGGUAACAGCGUAAUUUCUUUUGAGAGUACUUAUUGACAAAGAAGUUUGCGACCUCGAUGUUGGAUCAAGUUAUCCUGGGUGUGCAGCAGCCUCCAAGGGUUGGUUUGUUCAACCAUAAAAAACUUACGUGAUCU
rnacentral:rRNA from 1 species